CACGUAGUUAGCCGGGGCUUCUUACUCAGGUACCGUCAUUCUCUUCCCUGCUGGUAGAGCUUUACAUACCGAAAUACUUCUUCACUCACGCGGCGUCGCUGCAUCAGGGUUUCCCCCAUUGUGCAAUAUUCCCCACUGCUGCCUCCCGUAGGAGUCUGGGCCGUGUCUCAGUCCCAAUGUGGCCGGCCACCCUCUCAGGUCGGCUACUGAUCGUCGCCUUGGUGGGCCUCUACCCCGCCAACCAGCUAAUCAGACGCGGAUCCAUCCCAUACCACCGGAGUUUUUCACACAGAAACCAUGCAUUCCCGUGCGCUUAUGCGGUAUUAGCAGCCGUUUCCGGCUGUUACUCCCCCGGUAUGGGGCAGGUUAUCCACGCGUUACUCACCCGUCCGCCACUAAGUAUCAACUCUUCAUCCGUUAGAAUUCAAAGUUAAUGCUCCGUUCGACUUGCAUGUGUUAAGCACGCCGCCAGCGUUCAUCCUGUACGCCAGGAUACAAACUCU
rnacentral:rRNA from 1 species